rnacentral:rRNA from 1 species
GUGGGGAAUCUUCCGCAAUGGACGAAAGUCUGACGGAGCAACGCCGCGUGAGUGAAGAAGGUUUUCGGAUCGUAAAGCUCUUUCGUUAGGGACGAACGUGCUCUUUGUGAAUAAUGAGGAGUAAUGACGGUACCUAAAUAAGAAGCCACGGCUAACUACGUGCCAGCAGCCGCGGUAAUACGUAGGUGGCAAGCGUUGUCCGGAAUUAUUGGGCGUAAAGCGCGCGCAGGCGGGAUAUCAAGUCUGUCUUAAAAGUGCGAGGCUCAACCUCGUGAGGGGACAGAAACUGGUAUUCUUGAGUGUCGGAGAGGAAAGUGGAAUUCCAAGUGUAGCGGUGAAAUGCGUAGAGAUUUGGAAGAACACCAGUGGCGAAGGCGACUCACUGGCUCGAUACUGACGCUGAGGUGCGAAAGCGUGGGGAGCAAACAGGAUUAGAAACCCCAGUAGUCC